GAUGAGCGCUGGCGGCGUGCCUAAUACAUGCAAGUCGAGCGAACGGACGAGAAGCUUGCUUCUCUGAUGUUAGCGGCGGACGGGUGAGUAACACGUGGAUAACCUACCUAUAAGACUGGGAUAACUUCGGGAAACCGGAGCUAAUACCGGAUGAUAUUUUGAACCGCAUGGUUCAAAAGUGAAAGACGGUCUUGCUGUCACUUAUAGAUGGAUCCGCGCUGCAUUAGCUAGUUGGUAAGGUAACGGCUUACCAAGGCAACGAUGCAUGGCCGACCUGAGAGGGUGAUCGGCCACACUGGAACUGAGACACGGUCCAGACUCCUACGGGAGGCAGCAGUAGGGAAUCUUCCGCAAUGGGCGAAAGCCUGACGGAGCAACGCCGCGUGAGUGAUGAAGGUCUUCGGAUCGUAAAACUCUGUUAUUAGGGAAGAACAUAUGUGUAAGUAACUGUGCACAUCUUGACGGUACCUAAUCAGAAAGCCACGGCUAACUACGUG
rnacentral:rRNA from 1 species